AUGGCCUCUGAGCCGCCCUGCAUCACCUCCACACGCGGACAACCUGCCUUGAGGUCACUAGUGUUGCCUUUGAGCUGCCAUCGCCUCCGAAGCAGCUCGCCCUGCCGCGGCCGACCUCGAGCCGCCGCCCCGCAGCCACGACCGUGGCUGACUCGCCUCUCCGCCAUUGCGACCACGCGGCCUCGAGCCGCCCUCGCUUGGUUCCGCCUUCAAAGCGGCCUCCGCAGCCGCGCUUUGCCUCUUCCGCGGCCUUGUCACCUCGUUGACCCGCCGCUUCCACGAGCCGUCGCGCCAGCAAAUCUCCGUCGUUGCCCCAUCCAAAAAUGUCCUUGCCCUCGCUUCCAAGCCGUAGUCGACGACUCGCCACUUCUGACCCGCAUUUCGAGCCGGCCCCGAGACACCUCUGAAUCGCCACUCCCACGGCCGUGCCAAGUUGCCUGCCUCCGAGCUACCCUCGCCGGAGCGGCCUCCAGCUGCCCGCCUCCAUCGCGAGUCGCGCCUCGGCCAUGGCUGCAGUCUCCUCUCGCCAGCGCCCUUUUGCCGCCUCUGAGCCGCCUUGCGUUGCUGAACCUCGCCUUGGCCCAACCCGCCGUAGCUCGCAGGCCGCCUUCAUCGCCACUCCACAAGCCGGCUUGCCGCUUCUAUGCCGCUCCGCCUCUCUACGAGCAUCGAUUUUCCCCGCUGCUCGCCGCCUCCCGCCGUCUCGUGCUGACUGCGCCUUGCGCGUUUCCGCAGCCGGCUGCGCUGCACCCGUCGAUGGUUGUGCCUUCUAGGCCACUCCCCUCCUGCGCGCGCAGCCGCCCGAUGUCCCCAUCGUGGGCCCUCUCGACUUCCUCUGCCCGGCAAGCGCACCCGUCCGCGCGCGGCCCUCAACCCGCCCGCAAUGGCCCGGUCCCCCAGCUCUCUCCUCAGGUGGCCUUGCCGCGCGGAUCGUCUACCCCUGCGCGCCCGCCGCGGGUCGGAUCCGGGUCGUCGCCCGCGCCCUGCUUACCCGUUAAGCUCGGUAUUUUUUUUAUGAAUAUAUAUAUUGAUUAGCUUACCAGGCUUGACGCCUCGUGAAUACUAGUACUCUUCUUGAGGCGCCGUUUCCGCCUUCAUCUGACGACAAUACCUGGUGUUAUUUGCCCUCUCCGUUUUUUCAGCAUAUAUUAAUUCAUCCGAGAGCAGUCACUCUGGCUUGCGACAUUUUUACGGAAACACUAAUGCCCACACGUGUGGCACUUCUUCAAUUCGCCCACACGUCUUGAUCGUCGUCGAUUCGUUUUUGCAUGAAUCUUGACACGAGAAGGCAGAUUCCGUGUGCCAUGUAGGACAAGGCCGGUGUGUGGUGUGUAGUUGGUUCGCCCGCACGCCGUUUCCCCCUCGGACGUCAGCGGUUUGCGAGUCGGGGUGUGCGCUGGAACUUACAUCGCGCCCGCAUGUCACGCAUGACUUCGGUUGGCGUCUCCCAUGACUCGCCAUUCCCUCCCCUCACUGCGGUUCCAUUACUCCCAUCCGCAUUCACUUCUCCCCAACCCACUAUCCACAGAAGUUCCAUUCGAUUGGAGGAGAAGACGAGAGGAGGAGGCGGCGGAAGAGUCGACGACAUUCGCGACCGUUGCUGGGGUUCACUCGACCAGAGCGUCAUCCCCGGAGCAGCCGCAGUGAGAAGCACAAUGGCUCGCAGUGACCAUCAAGAUGAUGAUGAUGACUUCAUGGAGUUACUGCCAUAGAAUCGUGCGACCGGUCGUACAAAAUACGGAGAUGAGAAGAAGAAACGUCAGUGCAAUAGGGCUUCGCAAGAACGCCUGACUAUAUUGAAUGGAGGAUUUACUGAUGAGUAGAAGGGAGCUGCCGUGAGAUGGGGAUGCAGGCUCUGAUGAAUGUUCAGUGCACGAACCUAGUAAACCCUGUAUGCUACUGGCUCGGUGAGAUAUAUGAGCCUACGUCUAGGGAAUUCGUGAUUCCAGGACGUGGAAGACUGCCUUUGGAUGAGGAAUCUGUGUUCUGCACUUUGGGUGUGCCCCGUGGAGAAAUCAAAGUCCGUACGAGGUCAAUAAUAAGAUUGAGGAAGCCUUGUUCGCCCAUUUGUUUCCUGCAAUGGCAUCCAUGCCUAAUACGACUGUGCUGGCAACUUCACUGGAGGGCAUGAAAACCCAUGGCGAGGUAUUUAAGAUGAAGCUGCUCAUGUACUUGAUCUCAGCUGUCUUUGCGCCUACCACAUCUCUUCGCCCAAGCAACAAGUGCUUCCCUAUCCUGGCAAAGCUGAAAGACGUUAAGAACAUGAAUUGGUGUAAAUUCAUCGCGGACUUCCUACAUGAUGCAUUCUCAAAUAAGAUGUGCCAAAAGGGCUGUCGCUUGCACCUAAUGCUCAUGUACGUCGAUCGUCUUGAUUUGUCAACUGUCGACUUUACUGAGAUAGGAGGCCCGCCGCAUCCACAUAAGUUUGUUGUCUCUGCGUGGAGGUAUGAUGCUGUCAAGGCUGUGCUUGCCGUAGACAGGAUAUCUGAUACAAAAUAUGGGAAACUGUAGGUUAGUUCUGCUGUCUUUCUUGCACAACAUUCUUGAAUUUAGAUGUUCGAUAUCAUAUGAAAAAAUCCCCAUACGGCAACCAUUUAUGGCUAACAAGCGAUAAAUACCUUGGCAACCAUGGUUGUCUGCACAUGGCACCCAUGUUUGACCCCAUACGACAACUCCGCCAUUCCGUGUCGAAACUCCUUCCUUUUUCCUUUUUGCAAUCCAUGAAUUGUAGUCACUGCUCCUUAUUUCUUUUGACAUCUUAUUGCAAUCCAUGUAUUGUGUGAAG